rnacentral:rRNA from 1 species
UACGGGGGGGGCAAGCGUUGUUCGGAAUUACUGGGCGUAAAGGGCUUGUAGGCGGCCAACUAAGUCAGACGUGAAAUCCCUCGGCUUAACCGGGGAACUGCGUCUGAUACUGGAUGGCUAGAGAUUGGAAGAGGGAUGCGGAAUUCCAGGUGUAGCGGUGAAAUGCGUAGAUAUCUGGAGGAACACCGGUGGCGAAGGCGGCAUCCUGGACCAACACUGACGCUGAGGAGCGAAAGCCAGGGGAGCAAACGGG